CUUCCCCAGUGCUCCACCUUCCCCAGAGCACGGACCACGGAGGGAAGGAGAAGACUGCCCUGGAGGUCCUACACCUGUGGAAGGCCGUUGGGAAAGAAUCACGGGGUGUGCGGGGGUUCAGACACCGACACCGGGGUAGGCACGCCGUGAAUGCAGCCUGUGACCUGGACCGAAUCUCCCCAUUGUUGUCACCUACCAGGCAAUCGCGCAUAUCUGGGGCCAGUUUCUCACCCCGGGCAGUGGUGCCCAUGACUCUGCUGUGGGCCAUCCAACGUGCAGGAUGUUUAGCGGCAUCCCUGGCCUCCACCCACCAGGUGGCCAUAACACCUCCGAGUUGUGACAAGGACAGAUGUCCCCACACAUUACCAGAUAUCUCUGGGGAGGGGGAGGGAAGGGCAAAAUGACCCAGGAUGAGAACCACUAAGUGCCACAAAUGCCAAGGAAAUAAGGGAGCUAUGGCCAUGUUGCAUGGUACAAAGCACCGAACCGAAUGGCGCGGAGGUGGAAUGACUUUUGGCUUUGUUCCCAGAUGGGCUCCCCUAUCCCCGCCCUCAGCGGGCCUCCAAAAGGAGCCUAAGGGAGACCUUUGCUCAAGCAGAGACUGCUGAUCUGGGCAAGCUCAGCGAUAAAGCCCCCAAGGAGGGAGAUGCCCGCGGUCUUAGAUGUCUCCAGACCUCUGCUCUGCAUCCAUCUCCCCAGCUCCUCCUGAACCCCUGUCUAGCUCCCCCCACUGAGACUGAGAGAUCCUGAAGUCAAGUCUCUAAAUG